UGAUGAAGGAAGCAUGGUAUGGUACACGGAGAUCGAAUCGGGUCUCCAUGUCUGCUCUCUCUGAGCCCUUGCGGCUUUGAUUUGGGGGCCUGGAUCCGACCCACAUUU